GAGAGCUGUGGGGACGGGGCGCGGGCUCCGCCGUUGGGGAACGUGCCAUAUCCCGAGCUGCAAGGAGCCCGUAACGAUCAUCGAAUCCAGCUCUCUGCCCUGCCCAGGAUACUGCUUGACAACAAUCAAAACAUGGAUAAAAUGUUAAAAGAAUCUGCAUUGUUGAAUAAGUAACAAUAAAAACCCUUGGGGGUUUUGGGUACUUUCAAGUCCUGCACUGAUAUGUUGGGCCUGUUGAUGAUCCCCAGCCCUGCCUGAAACCUUCUGCACUGCCAUUGCUCAUCUAAGCAGCAGCCAGCCAGCAAGAAGUUAUUUAUAGCAUACACCAUUUUAGAUAAAGCAAAACCCUGCUGAAACUGGAGGAUGAAGUUACACCAAAUGCUGAGGACAGAAGUGAGAAGCAGUUGUACUUUGUGGAGGAAUUAGAACCUGUGCUACCAAUCAUAGCUCACAUGGCAAGCCAGAUGAUGUAAAUGACCUGAGUGCUGGAGCCCACCGACCCAGCCCAAGGUAAUUCUUCAGAGGAGGUGUGUGUUAUCUUUGAACACAAGAAGAUGUUACAAAGGUGAAAACAGCCAGAAAAGUGAUGGAGUGAUUUUCUAGAAAACACCUGCAACUCUGAACUGCAACUCUUCUGGUUUCCUUUGUAUUUCAAACCAACUUUUUCUGCACAGGAAUAUGCCUUCGUGGACUCCUGGUGAAGAAAUACAUUUAUUAUUGUAAAUAAACAACUUCCAAUAAAUUUAAUUUACUAAAGAAACCUA